UACAGAGACUGCAAGCGUUAUUCGGAUUCACUGGGCGUAAAGGGUGCGCAGGCGGUCGGGUGUGUCAGAUGUGAAAUCCCGAGGCUCAACCCCGGAAUUGCGCCUGAAACUACAUGACUAGAGCAUUGGAGAGGGUAGCGGAAUUCACGGUGUAGCAGUGAAAUGCGUAGAUAUCGUGAGGAACACCAGAGGCGAAGGCGGCUACCUGGACAAUUGCUGACGCUCAGGCACGAAAGCGUGGGGAGCAAAAGGG
rnacentral:rRNA from 1 species